AUGGAGUCUAGACUCAAGGAUGUGGAGAUGGAAAAUAUCAUAUUGAAGUAUAGUUUCAGUCAGUGUUUAGGCAUUAGCUCUAUUUAUGGUUUCCCGGAUAAAAGGAGAAAGAAGAAUGUGUGGGAUCUCAUCAGAAGCUUACAACCAGUGGAAGAGGGUGGGGAAACCCAGCUUUCAUCAAUAGGUUUUCGCCAGUCCAAAUCCGCCGUCUCCCCAAGCGUACCUCGAAUCAUGCAGUCUUGGCUAUUGAGUUGGAGGUUGUGA